UACGUAGGGUGCAAGCGUUAAUCGGAAUUACUGGGCGUAAAGCGUGCGCAGGCGGCUUUGCAAGACAGAUGUGAAAUCCCCGGGCUUAACCUGGGAACUGCAUUUGUGACUGCAUGGCUGGAGUGCGGCAGAGGGGGAUGGAAUUCCGCGUGUAGCAGUGAAAUGCGUAGAUAUCGUAAGGAAGACCAGUGGCGAAGACGAGUCUCUGGACAGUUACUGACGCUGAGGCACGAAGGCCAGGGGAGCAAACGGG
rnacentral:rRNA from 1 species